UGUGACACCGUCUGCUUCAAUAUUUCAACACAUGUAACAUGGACGACAUUUAAUUUUCUGAGGAAAUCGAGACAUAUCACUGUCAAUUUACCACAAACAAUCUACUGACUACUUGUAAACCUUUCUGGUGGAAUAUUAUAAUUACAAUUUUCGAAACAA